rnacentral:lncRNA from 1 species
AGAGCCUCUCAGGGCCCCAAGACUCCAGGAAGAAACAAGUAUUGUAGAAGCCAAAACCCCAAGGCAAGAUGAGGAAACUGAGGCCCCACGUGGUGAAGACAAUUUUUACCCGAAUCCACCCACAACAAGAGACCAUUUGGAUAAUGUACAUUAUGGGAAGAGAACAGAGUCUCAGUGAAGAUCAUGUUUCCCCAGCAACACAGGUGCCAGGAGUAGCUGGCUCUGGUCCCAGCCCAGACUCAGAAAUCCUGAGCCACCAGACCAUUUCUAGAUUAACAAAGGCCUGCAUUAAUUUGAUUUCAG